GGUUGUAUUAUCAUUGUCCGAG
rnacentral:miRNA from 1 species